rnacentral:rRNA from 1 species
GUGAACGCUGGCGGUAGGCCUAACACAUGCAAGUCGAACGGCAGCACAGUAAGAGCUUGCUCUUACGGGUGGCGAGUGGCGGACGGGUGAGGAAUACAUCGGAAUCUACUUUUUCGUGGGGGAUAACGUAGGGAAACUUACGCUAAUACCGCAUACGACCUACGGGUGAAAGCAGGGGAUCUUCGGACCUUGCGCGAUUGAAUGAGCCGAUGUCGGAUUAGCUAGUUGGCGGGGUAAAGGCCCACCAAGGCGACGAUCCGUAGCUGGUCUGAGAGGAUGAUCAGCCACACUGGAACUGAGACACGGUCCAGACUCCUACGGGAGGCAGCAGUGGGGAAUAUUGGACAAUGGGCGCAAUCCUGAUCCAGCCAUACCGCGUGGGUGAAGAAGGCCUUCGGGUUGUAAAGCCCUUUUGUUGGGAAAGAAAAGCAGCAGGUUAAUACCCCGCUGUUCUGACGGUACCCAAAGAAUAAGCACCGGCUAACUUCGUG